rnacentral:rRNA from 2 species
UUCCGGUUGAUCCUGCCGGAGGUUACUGCUAUCGAGGUUCGACUAAGCCAUGCGAGUCGAAUGUAGCAAUACAUGGCGAACUGCUCAGUAACACGUGGACAACCUGCCCUUAGGUUGGGUAUAAACCCGGGAAACUGGGUAUAAUACCCGAUAGGUCUCGAUUGCUGGAAUGCAUCGAGAUUUAAAGCUCCGGCGCCUAAGGAUGGGUCUGCGGCCUAUCAGGUAGUAGUGGGUGUAGCGUACCUACUAGCCUACGACGGGUACGGGUUGUGAGAGCAAGAGCCCGGAGAUGGAUUCUGAGACACGAAUCCAGGCCCUACGGGGUGCAGCAGGCGCGAAAACUUUACAAUGCUGGCAACAGCGAUAAGGGAACCUCGAGUGCCAGGUUACAAAUCUGGCUGUCGAGAUGCCUAAAAAGCAUUUCAUAGCAAGGGCCGGGCAAGACCGGUGCCAGCCGCCGCGGUAACACCGGCGGCUCGAGUGGUAACCGUUAUUAUUGGGUCUAAAGGGUCUGUAGCCGGCCGGAUAAGUCUCUUGAGAAAUCUGGCAGCUUAACUGUCAGGCUUUCAGGAGAUACUGUCUGGCUCGAGGCCGGGAGAGGUGAGAGGUACUUCAGGGGUAGGGGUGAAAUCUUGUAAUCCUUGAAGGACCACCAGUGGCGAAGGCGUCUCACCAGAACGGACCUGACGGCAAGGGACGAAAGCUAGGGGCACGAACCGGAUUAGAUACCCGGGUAGUCCUAGCCGUAAACGAUACUCGCUAGGUGUCGGCCACGGUGCGACCGUUGUCGGUGCCGUAGGGAAGCCGUGAAGCGAGCCACCUGGGAAGUACGGCCGCAAGGCUGAAACUUAAAGGAAUUGGCGGGGGAGCACCACAACGGGUGGAGCUUGCGGUUUAAUUGGAGUCAACGCCGGA